rnacentral:rRNA from 1 species
UACGUAGGGGGCGAGCGUUGUCCGGAUUUAUUGGGCGUAAAGAGCGUGUAGGCGGCCAGGUAGGUCCGUUGUGAAAACUCGAGGCUCAACCUCGAGACGUCGAUGGAAACCAUCUGGCUAGAGUCCGGAAGAGGAGAGUGGAAUUCCUGGUGUAGCGGUGAAAUGCGCAGAUAUCAGGAAGAACAUCGGUGGCGAAGGCGCUCUGCUGGACCAUAACUGACACUCAGGGACGAAAGCUAGGGGAGCGAAUGGG